AUUGAACGCUGGCGGCAUGCCUUACACAUGCAAGUCGAACGGCAGCGGGCCUUCGGGUGCCGGCGAGUGGCGAACGGGUGAGUAAUGCAUCGGAACGUGCCAUUGAGUGGGGGAUAACGUAGCGAAAGUUGCGCUAAUACCGCAUAUUCUGUGAGCAGGAAAGCAGGGGACCGCAAGGCCUUGCGCUCUUUGAGCGGCCGAUGUCAGAUUAGCUAGUUGGUGAGGUAAAGGCCUACCAAGGCUACGAUCUGUAGCGGGUCUGAGAGGAUGAUCCGCCACACUGGAACUGAGACACGGUCCAGACUCCUACGGGAGGCAGCAGUGGGGAAUUUUGGACAAUGGGGGCAACCCUGAUCCAGCCAUGCCGCGUGAGUGAAGAAGGCCUCGG
rnacentral:rRNA from 1 species